GAUGUCCCACAAAUAGAAUGUUUGCAAAACAAUAAUACCGAUGGCCAUAAUACUGAGACUCCACCAACCUUGGAAGGAAUAGUUGACACUGUUGCAGAGUUUCAACGGACUAUUGAUAGCAAUGUAAUUAAUAGCAAUGUAAUAACAAACACAAUGGAAAAUUUAGUCGCCAAAGAUGCUGCUUCUGAUCCUAUUAAUAUUAAGCAAAAUACAAAACGAUCCAAACGACCCAGACUUAACAAAAAGACAUAUUGUGAAUUUAUCUCCGAUAAUGAAGACCCGUUUUUUAUUUAUGGUUCUAGUUCGUGGAGUGAUACAGGUAACACUGUAACGAUUAGUUAUUACCAUCGUUACUAAAAUAUUUAUUCCAAUAGUAACUAGGUAUGCAACCAACUUUACAGACAAUUGUAUUGAAAGUUGCCGUUGAUCGACGACAAAAUUGGUAACUUUUGGGGAAUUCAGAACCUAGAAGUUGGUUUGUGUGUCGAUACGGCUUCCGGCUGACGUGAUUGUCAUUGAAGAAGGGGCUAUUCGUCACUUCAAUCUCGGCUGUUGUUGAAAUCAGACCCAUCAGCCAUCACGCCAGUGGCCAUUACAGAGAAUAUAAAAUUUUAGUUGAAAUGUUUGAAUAGAAUAUACGUUUACGUGGGAAGAAGUUGUUUUGUUCUUGGUUGUUAAGUGGUUUUGAAAAGAAGAGGUUUUUUUUGUUUUCCAACACCUUUUUGAAGAGUAAUGGCCACUGGUGGAGAUCAAGAUUAAGUCAAUCCUUUUUUUUUGGGAUAUGGCAUAAAUAGAGGAUAAUUUUGAGUUCCUUUGGCAUUGGAUGGAUUUUAUUUUUUGUUUUUUUUUUGGAGAUAGACAGUUUUCCCGGUGCUAGGAAGUACCUCCUUGUCGCACCACAUCGUCGUACCUUCUGGUUGGUGAGAAGUACUCCCCCUAAGGUAGAGGAAACCUGGAAUAUACCUUACUUGGCUCUCCCGCAUCAACUUAACCGGAGUUUGGAGAAGCCACAGGCCUACUGUUUGUAGAAACGACAGGUUUUAUUAUUAAAAUUUACAUUUUCAAUUCUUUUCGUAACAUAUUUCAACUUUAACAUUUUUAAUAACAUAUAUAAUCUUAAUAAUCAAAUAAAUUCAUUUUUCUAAAAUCAAUUAACGUAAUCAUAAUCAAUAUUUUUCUUUUCCACAACUUUUAUAUGUCAUUUUCAUUAUUGUAUUUGCAUUUUAUUUUAUUUAAAAUAGUCCGGAGACCAUAACCUAUCUGGUAAGAUACUGUGCACACUAUCUCGGGUUAUUAUCACAAUAUAUCAGUAUUGUCCGGUGUGUCAUUCCGAUCAGAUGUGGGAUUGUCAACCAAUAUUGUAAUCCUCCUUAAUAAUAAGUUUUUGUACACCCAUAUUUAGAUCCAUUAACUGUCUUGGUAUAAUAAAUUCAAUAUAUUUGCUUUUCUCUACUGUAAUAUCUGUGUAAUAGACAGGAGCGUACUAGCUUAGUACGUCAGGUGGUUAGCUAGUUUGUAUAAAAUUGUAUAUAGGGGUUAUAGGUAUUUUUUUUUCAUUAAAUUUGUUGGUUGUACAUAUAA
rnacentral:lncRNA from 1 species